rnacentral:lncRNA from 1 species
UGGGUGGGGACACAGCCAAACCAUAUAACCUGGGCACCAGAAAACCAGUAACAUCAAACCAAUCUUCAGGUUAAGUCUUCAUCUCAACCAGUCAGGGAGAAGCUAUAUUGGUAGGAGGGUUGGGAAGGUGACUUGAGGCUCUUCAACAUCCACCCAUGAAACUCCUCUACAGAGCAGAACUGCACUGUCCUGAUUGUAUUCCCUGAACAUCACUACAAAACAGCCCAGUACAAUGUUAAAUAGAAGCAGAGGUAAUUAGAUGAACCCAUGGAUAUAAAGAGUCAAAUAUAUAUAUACACACAUACAUAUAAACACACACACAUAUAUAAAAUAUAUAAUAUAAAAUAUGCAUAUAUACAAAUAAUGCAAAAUAUAUACAAAAUAUAUAUAAUCUCUUACAAAACUGAAGUUUAUCAAAAUGAAUUGACAGAUACUAUUACUUUGUCUCUUCAACAACCAUAUUUUUCACACUAUUUAUUCAGGUAGCAAGAGAAGAUCCCUUGUCCAAUAGUUUUACGAAGAUACGUUUGAAUCAAUUUUGCCUGGCACAUGGUAUGUUCUUUGACUUGAAAAGAAGAGUCAAUCUUCUUUUAUUUCAGAAAAGAUUUUUAAAUUUAUAUAUUGAAAUAUAUCUUGAUCUAAAUAAUAAAUAUAGUUGGCCCGCCAUAUCUAUGGGUUCCACAUCCAUGGAUUCAACCAACUGGGAUCAAAAAUAUUCCAAACAACAAUAAAAACAAUAAACAAUAAACAACAAUAAAACAAUAAACAACACAAUAAACAAAAUAAACAACAAUAAACAAAACAAUAAACAAUAAAAAAUAACAAUAGAACAAUUAAAAAAAUACAAAAUUUAAAAAUACAGUAUAACAUCUAUUUACAUAACAUUUAUAUAUUGUAUUAGGUAUUAUAAGUGAUCUAGAAAUGACUUAAAGUAUACAGAAGCCUAGCCUGGGCAACACAGUGAGACUUCCAUUUCUACAAAAAAUAACAUUAGCCACGUGUAGUGGUGCAUGCUUGUGGUCCCAGCUACUCAGGAGGCUGAGCUGGGAGAAUUGCUUAAGUCCCAGAGGUUAAGGCUGCAGUGAGCUGUGAUCACACCACUGCAUUCCAGCCUGGGUGACAAACUGAGAACCCGUCUCAAAAAAUAAGUACAUACAAUAAAAAAUAAAGUAUACAGGAGGAUGUGCAUAGAUUAUAUGCAAAUCUCACACCAUUUUAUGUAAGAAACUUGAGCAUCCUCAGAUUUUGGUAUCCAUGGAGCUUUCCGGAACCAAUCCCCUGUGGAUACCUGUAUACACACACACACACAAAUACACACAUAUAAAUACACACACACAUAUACACACACAUAUAUAAAUACACACACAUACACAGAGUGCAAUUGCUGGAGUGUCUGGUAAGCCUUUGUUUAAUCUUUAAGAAACUGCCAGACUGUCUUCCAAGUGGCUGCAUCAUUUUGCAUUCCCACCAGCAAUGAAUGAGAGCUCCUGUUGCUCCACAACCUCAUCAGCAUUUGCUGUUCUUAGUAUUUUGGAUUUUAGCUCAUCUAAUAAGUGUAUACUGGUAUCUUGUUUUAAUUUGCAAUUUUCUAGUGACAUAUUGUGUUGAGAAUCUUUUCAUAUGUUCAUUUGCCAUCUACAUAUAUUCUUUGGGGAGGUUUCCAUUCAGCUCUUUUGCCCAUAUUUUAAUCAGGUUGUUCAUUUUCUUAUUGCUGAGUUUUAAGAGUUCUUUGUAUUUCAGACAUACUUCCUUUAUCAGAUAGGUGUUUUGCACAUAUUUUCUCAUAGUCUGUGGCAUGUGUUUUCAUUCUCUUAACAGUGUCUUUGCAGAGCAGAAGUUUUUCAUUUUAAUGAAGUCCAACUUAUCUAUCUUUCUUUUCUUUUAUGGAUUGUGCUUUGGUGUUGUAUCUAAAAACUCACUGCCAAACCAAAGUCACCUAGAGUUUCUCCUAUGUGAUAUGCUUACCUGAAUGAAAUGUUUGGCUUUUUCAUUCUUCUUCACAGUAUAACCCUCUUCUAACUUCAUUUCAAAAAUGUGUAAGCCAUUCAUUCUAGUUUUUCCGUAUUUUAGCAGCCACAUUACUAAAUCACUUAUUUCUCAGGUUCCAGUUUUCUUCCCUCUUGGGAAAUCAUCUCCCUGAGUCAGCAAAGGCCCGUUACUUUUUUAGUUUUCCAGUGUCUCUAGUCUCAUAGUUGCGUUCUCUGACGUUUGGAUAGUCAUCACUCUCCUCUUUAAUCCUCAAAACAUUGCCAUGGAGUUCUAAAAGGAAGGAGAGCAAAUGAUAUGGAGGUAGUAGUUGCCGAUUUCCUGAACCAACCUCAGGAGAUAAAUGAGCAAACACUUCCCAAACUUCAAUUCCAGCCUGUUUGGCCCAAAUUUAUAUGAAGUGCUCACUUGUCAAUUAAUAGCUUCUUCACUGAUUUUUCUUGCAGCCUUAGUAAGGAAACUUCUUUUUUUUUUUUUUUCUUUUCUUUUAAUGAGACAGGAUCUUACUAUAUUGGCCAGGUUGGGCUGAACUCUUGGCCUCAAGCAAUCCUCUCGCCUCUGCCUCCCAAAAUGCUAGGAUUACAGGUGUGAGCCACCACGCCCAGCCAGGAAACUUCUACAACAAAAGGUUUCUGUUACAGAGUUUAUUUAUUUUUUAUUUUUAAGAUAGAGUUUUACUCUGUCACCCAGGCUGGAGUGCAUGGCACAGUCACGGCUCAUUGCAGCCUCAACCUCCCAGGCUCAAGCAACCCUCCUCCCACCUCAGCCUCUUGAGUAGCUGGGACUACAGGUGUGUGCCCCCAUGCCUGGCUAAUUUUUUUAGUUUCGUAGAAACAGGGUCUUACUAUGUUGCGCAGGCUGGUCUUGAACUCCUGGACUUAACGCAAUCCUCUCACCUUGGCCUCCCAAAGUGCUGGGAUUACAAGCAUGAGCCACUACACUUGGCUCUCUGUUAGAUAAUUUAAACGGACAACAUCUCUUGUAUCAAAGAAAAUUUAACUAGUUUCUUCCCAUUUGCCUUUUCUUUCUGUAAUGGAGUUCCAAAUGGAAUUAGUAAUAGGCAUAGUAAUUUGAGUUCUGAAUGGCUUUAACGAUCGCCUCCUGAGUAGCUGGGACUACAGGUGUGUGCCUCCAUGCCCAGCUAAUUUUUGUAUUUUUUGUAGAGACAAGAGUUUUGCCAUGUUGCCUAGGCUGGUCUUGAACUCCUGAGCUCAAGCGAUCUGCCUGCCUUAGCUUCCCAAAGUGCUGGGAUUACAGGCAUGAGCCACCACACCCGGCCUAAGCAUGCUUCUUAUAAAGAUAACCCACCAAAUCAUUCAUAGUGUUUCUGUCUGACAUGUUUAAUUUAGAUAAGCUGAGGUGAAGAGUGAGUAUGAGUUUCCUACGGCUGCUAUAACAAAUUCCUACAAACUGGAUGGCCUGAAACAAUAGAAAUGCAUUCUCUCACAGUUCUGGAGGCCAGAACUCUGAAGUCAAAUGUCAGCAGAGUUGUGCUCCUUCUGAAGGCUCUAAGGGAGGAAGAAUUCUUCCUUGCCCUUUCCUAGCUUCUGGUGGUUGCUGGAAAUUCUUGGCAUUUCGUGGUUUAUAGCUGCAUCACUCCAAUCUCUGUCUGUCUGCACAUGGCUGUCUUCCCUCUGUGUGUGUGUGUCUUUAAAUCUCCUUCUCCUUAUAAGAACACCAGUCAUUGGAUUUAGGGCCCACCCUAUUCCAGUGUGACCUCACCUUAACUUGAUCAUGUCUCCAAGGAUCCUAUUUCCAAAUAAAGUCACAGCCACAGGGUUUAGGAUUUCAAUUCAACACACAACAGAGCAAUGCUAUAAGGCCUAUGGCACAAGAAUAAAAUUCAGAGGAGAUAUGCUAGAGAGAGAAAAACACAGAAUAAAACACGCUUCAGGAAGAACAAUUGGAGGUAUGCGUGGUGUGUGGUUAUUUCUUUGAAGACAGGCUGCUUCAGUCUGAGAAAGUGCUUCUUGUAAAUAUACAUAGAGAAGCGUAGUGUAAAUAUGCUUGACUUUAGCCUUGAAAAGAAUAAUUAGGAAAACAACAAACCCAAAUCAUCAAUAUUAACUAAAGGAAAUUGUCAGAGAGAGUAAACAUUUAAAGCAUAAUUGCAGCUGAACACGGUGGGGUGUGAGAGGAGAGGUCUCAUAACUGGCCACCAGUCACGCAAUAACAGGCAAUGCACUGCCCCUACCUUAAUUUUUGUUUCAUUUUGUUCCUGUUUCUGUUUUGCUUCAUUAUUGAUUGAUCAGACAUCUGGUAAACAUUUAUCAUCAAUAUUAUUGAUUGGCAUUUCCCUCCACCAUUUGCUCAAGUCUCCAAAGUAUUGGCUGUGCUAUCACGGCACACAAGUUACCUGGGGAGUGCAGUGGAGAGAAAGACCUUGGGUCUGCAGAAGGAUAUUGUGCCUUCUAAGUAUGACUGAGAAGGUGAAGCUAAAACCUGCUGGUCUUGCAGUGUCUCAACUCUCUCACAGUGUUGGGGAUUAUAGUGGGUGGCUUUAAAU